rnacentral:rRNA from 1 species
GUGAGCAAUCUGCCCUUCACUUUGGGAUAACCCCGGGAAACUGGGGCUAAUACCGAAUACGACCACCGAUGGCAUCUUUGGUGGUGGAAAGUUCCGGCGGUGAAGGAUGAGCUCGCGGCCUAUCAGCUUGUUGGUGAGGUAAUGGCUCACCAAGGCAACGACGGGUAGCCGGCCUGAGAGGGUGACCGGCCACACUGGGACUGAGACACGGCCCAGACUCCUACGGGAGGCAGCAGUGGGGAAUAUUGGACAAUGGGCGAAAGCCUGAUCCAGCAAUGCCGCGUGAGGGAUGACGGCCUUCGGGUUGUAAACCUCUUUCAGCAGGGACGAAGCGCAAGUGACGGUACCUGCAGAAGAAGCACCGGCCAACUACGUGCCAGCAGCCGCGGUAACACGUAGGGUGCGAGCGUUGUCC